rnacentral:rRNA from 1 species
CCUACGGGAGGCAGCAGUGAGGAAUAUUGGUCAAUGGACGAGAGUCUGAACCAGCCAAGUAGCGUGAAGGAUGACUGCCCUAUGGGUUGUAAACUUCUUUUAUAUGGGAAUAAAACGUUCCACGUGUGGGAUUUUGUAUGUACCAUAUGAAUAAGGAUCGGCUAACUCCGUGCCAGCAGCCGCGGUAAUACGGAGGAUCCGAGCGUUAUCCGGAUUUAUUGGGUUUAAAGGGAGCGUAGGUGGAUUGUUAAGUCAGUUGUGAAAGUUUGCGGCUCAACCGUAAAAUUGCAGUUGAAACUGGCAGUCUUGAGUACAGUAGAGGUGGGCGGAAUUCGUGGUGUAGCGGUGAAAUGCUUAGAUAUCACGAAGAACUCCGAUUGCGAAGGCAGUUCACUGGACUGCAACUGAUACUGAGGCUCGAAAGUGUGGGUAUCAAACAGGAUUAGAUACCCUAGUAGUC